AUCUGUGGCCAUGCCACCCCGAACAAGCCCGAUCCCAUCUGAUCUCAGAAGCUAAGCAGGGUCGGGCCUGGUUAGUACUUGGAUGGGAGAUCACCUAGGAAGACCAGGUGCUGUAGGCG
rnacentral:rRNA from 1 species